CCUGCCCAUAGAAGUGUUGUCAGGUGUGGCUGCUAUGUCCCAUGAGCAUCAGUAGGUGUCAAAGAGGGGAGAGGCAAUGUCUGUGGUUAGUGUUCUGAUCUAAGAAGAUCGUAAUGAUUGGUAGCUUAACAUU